UACGGAGGGUGCAAGCGUUGUUCGGAAUUACUGGGCGUAAAGGGCGCGUAGGCGGUCUCUUAAGUCGGUGGUGAAAUCCUGGAGCUCAACUCCAGAACUGCCUCCGAUACUGGGAGCCUUCGAGUCCGGGAGAGGUGAGUGGAACUGCGAGUGUAGAGGUGAAAUUCGUAGAUAUUCGCAAGAACACCAGUGGCGAAGGCGGCUCACUGGCCCGGUACUGACGCUGAGGUGCGAAAGCGUGGGGAGCAAACAGG
rnacentral:rRNA from 1 species